AACGAACACUGGCGGCAUGCCUAACACAUGCAGGUCGAACGAGACCUUCGGGUCUAGUGGCGCACGGGUGCGUAACGCGUGGGAACCUGCCCUUAGGUUCGGAAUAACUCCCCGAAAGGGGUGCUAAUACCGGAUAAUGUCUUCGGACCAAAGAUUUAUCGCCUUUGGAUGGGCCCGCGUUGGAUUAGCUAGUUGGUAGGGUAAAAGCCUACCAAGGCGACGAUCCAUAGCUGGUCUGAGAGGAUGAUCAGCCACACUGGGACUGAGACACGGCCCAGACUCCUACGGGAGGCAGCAGUGGGGAAUAUUGGACAAUGGGCGAAAGCCUGAUCCAGCAAUGCCGCGUGAGUGAUGAAGGCCUUAGGGUUGUAAAGCUCUUUUACCCGGGAUGAUAAUGACAGUACCGGGAGAAUAAGCUCCGGCUAACUCCGUG
rnacentral:rRNA from 1 species